AAAAUAUUGCCUGAUAUUAAGAUUUAUUACAAAAUUACAUUAAGCAAUAAAGCAUGGCAUUGGCAUGUGCCUGGGUGCUGUCACUUCAGUUGUAUCGGACUCUGCGAUCCCAUGGACCCACCAGGCUCCUCUGUCCAUGGGGAUUCUCCAGGCAAGAAUACUCCAGGAGGUUGCCAUGCCCUCCUCCAGGGUAUCUUCCGGACGCAAGGAUCAAACCAGCGUCUCUUAGGUCGCCUGCAUUGGCAGGCGGGUUCUCUACCGCUAGCGCCACUCGAGAAGCGCCGCCUGAAAAAAAAAACUCCCUACGGCCGCGGCAGUGGUGACCACGCGAGGGGCGGCGUCCCAGCCCCCGGGGGCGGUGCAGUCCGGGGGAGACUGGAGGGCGAGCCCGACCUCCCAGACCCCAAGGUAGACGGGCGACGCCCCUCGCCCCCACCCAGGGCUCUUGAAACCUCCGCGCCGGGACGCGCUAGGUACCUGGAAAGGGGCAGGCGGAGGAGGCGGGGGCGUGGUGCCCCACGGGCCCGCGGCCCAGACCCUGACCACCGCGGCCGCCCGCGGGCCUCGGCGCUACCAGCCCGUGACGCGGGGCCUGCCCGGCGCUGGCCAACAGCCACCUGGAGUCCCUACAGCCGCCGCCACCACCCCCGACGACCUCCCCGCCCCCUGUUUCCCCCGAAAAGGAGCAGAACCCCCCUUGCGCCCAGACGGCACCCUCCUCUUCCCCCACAGCCGUGGCCCUUCCCCGCACCCACGUCCCAGGCACCCUUCCCCCGCCACCGAGGGCAGAAGAACGCUCCGACGGGAAGCGUGGCGCAGUCGAGUAGGGCACAACAGAGGAAAGGCGCGAGAGAGCCGGCCGGCCGGCCGGUCGGAGGGCGGGGAGAGGCGCCUGGCGACCUGGCGGAGAGCAGAGCAAAGGACAAGCGACCACCGGCUGGGAAGACUGGUCCAGGGCCGGCGGCGACCGGCAGCCGAGCGGCCCCGCCCCACAGCCCGCGAGACGCACCGGAGGCUCCGGACUGUGCCGUCGCGACCUGGGGCAGUCGUGGCCAAAGACCACUGGACCCGACCGCCGGCCGCCGGGCAGACCCUGUCCCUGCGCGGAGUGACGGGCCACCGGAUGUCUCCCUCCCUCCGUCCCAUCCCGCUCCGCCCUGGUGGAGGAAGCUCGCGAGCCGGCGGGCGAGGCCACCGCGCUGUUACCUAACAAAUUGGCAUCGAGAUAGACAAAUCCUCCAAUGGAAGAAAAUAUAGAGUCCAGAAAAGAAAGUAGAAAAUACUUGAAUCUAUACCUCAUACCAUAUACAAAAUUUAAUUCAAAAUGAAACACUGACCUAAAUGUAAAUCUUGAAACUAUGAAACUUCGAAAACUAAGCAUGAAAGAGAAAUUUGCGGGGGGGGGGGGGGGGUGUCCUAGGCCAGACUACCGGCUCCCCCGGUGGCACUAGUGGUAAAGAACAGGCCUUCCAAUACAGGAGACAUAAGAGACGCAGGUUUAAUCCCUGGGUUGGGAAGAUCCCCUGGAGAAGGGCAUGGCAACUCACUCCAGUAUUCUUGCCUGGAGAAUCCUAUGGACAGAGGAGUCUGGUGGGCUACUGUCCACAGGGUCGCAAAGAGUCGAACACAACUGAAGCGACUUAGCGCACACGGCAGGCCAGACAACAAUUUGUUAGAUAUAAUACCAAAACACCAAAUCCGUUUUUAAAAAAUGGAUAGGGUUGGCUUCAAUAAGAACAAAACUUCUAUCCAAAAUAUUGUUAAGAGAAUGAAAGGAUAAGAGAAAAUAUGAGAAAAUCAUGUAUUCAAUGGAGGUCUUGUAUCCAGUGUAUAUAGAAAACUCAAAACUCAAUAAUAAGAAAACAAUGCAAUAAAAAGUUUUAAAAAAAAUUUAACAGACGUAUCAGCAAAUAAUUUAUGUGAAUGGACAAUAAGCACAUGAAAAGAUUCUCAACAUAAUAACUUGGAAUAGGCAGAUAAAAACACAAUGAUGUGCCAUUCCAUACUUGCUAAAUGACUGAAAUUAAUACAGUGACCAAACUAAGUGUUGGUGAGUAUACUCUAAUAUUUCAACUCUUCCAUUCCCACUACUGCUUUAGUUCAGAUUCUUAUGAACUAUUAUACUGUAUCCCUUUACUGUUUAAAUAUUUCCUCGAAAACUCCCCAUUUUUACUCCUGUCAACCUCCAGAUGUUCUCCAUACUGUAAAUAGCAUGUUAUGGUCUAAAUGUCUGCAUCCUCCCAAAAUUCACAGGUUGAAAUUUUGAUGCCUAAUGUGAUGGUAUUAGUAGGUGAGGCCUUUUGGAGGUGAUGACUCUAUGAGAGUAGAGCCCUCAUGAAUGAAAUUAAUGAUUCUAUAAAAGAGACCUAAGAGAGCCUCCUUGCCCUUUUUCAGCUUGUGAGGAUAUGAGAAGUCUGUAACUUAGAAAAGGGCAUUCUGUUGAAACCUGAUCUCAGACUUCUAGCUUCCAGAAAAACUUUGAGAGAUGAAUUUCUGUUGUUUAUAAGCCAUCCAGUCUGUGGUAUUUUAUUAUAGCAGACAGAACAGACUAAGAUAGAAAAUUGGUACUGGAAGUGCAAUUGCUGCUGUAACAAAAAAAAAAAAAAAAAAAUGAGGC
ensembl:lincRNA